rnacentral:rRNA from 1 species
UACGUAGGGGGCUAGCGUUGUCCGGAUUUAUUGGGCGUAAAGAGCGUGUAGGCGGCCAGAUAGGUCUGCUGUGAAAACUCGAGGCUCAACCUCGAGCUGUCGGCGGAAACCAUUUGGCUAGAGUCCGGAAGAGGAGUGUGGAAUUCCUGGUGUAGCGGUGAAAUGCGCAGAUAUCAGGAGGAACACCAAUGGCGAAGGCAGCACUCUGGGACGUGACUGACGCUGAGACGCGAAAGCGUGGGGAGCAAACAGG